GGGCGGUCUUUUGCUCCCGCAGAAGCCAAGAGGGAAACAGGUGAAAGUCCUGUACAGACCCGCUGCUGUAAGUCUCACGUACCAACGCCGUGCCAAGAUGCCACUACCGCAAGGUGGGAAGGCGGUACGACGGAGACAAGUCAGAAUACCUGCCGACCU
rnacentral:ncRNA from 1 species